rnacentral:rRNA from 1 species
UACGUAGGGGGCUAGCGUUGUCCGGAUUUAUUGGGCGUAAAGAGCGUGUAGGCGGCCAGGUAGGUCUGCUGUGAAAACUCGAGGCUCAACCUCGAGACGUCGGCGGAAACCAUCUGGCUAGAGUCCGGAAGAGGAGAGUGGAAUUCCUGGUGUAGCGGUGAAAUGCGCAGAUAUCAGGAAGAACACCCGUGGCGAAGGCGGCUCUCUGGGCCAGUUCUGACGCUGAGGAGCGAAAGCGUGGGGAGCGAACAGG